rnacentral:misc_RNA from 1 species
GAUGAAGAACGUAGCGAAAUGCGAUAAGUAAUGUGAAUUGCAGAAUUCAGUGAAUCAUCGAAUCUUUUAACGCACAUUGCGCCCCCUGGUAUUCCGGGGGGCAUGCCUGUUCGAGCGUCAUUUCACCACUCAAGCCUCGCUUGGUAUUGGGCAACGCGGUCCGCCGCGUGCCUCAAAUCGUCCGGCUGGGUCUUCUGUCCCCUAAGCGUUGUGGAAACUAUUCGCUAAAGGGUGUUCGGGAGGCUACGCCGUAAAACAACCCCAUUUCUAAGGUUGACCUCGGAUCAGGUAGGGAUACCCGCUGAACUUAAGCAUAUCAAUAAGCGGAGGA